rnacentral:rRNA from 1 species
UACGUAGGGUGCAAGCGUUAAUCGGAAUUACUGGGCGUAAAGCGUGCGCAGGCGGUUUGUUAAGUCCGUUGUGAAAGCCCCGAGCUCAACUUGGGAAUUGCAGUGGAUACUGGCAGGCUGGAGUACGGUAGAGGAAGGUGGAAUUCCCGGUGUAGCAGUGAAAUGCGUAGAGAUCGGGAGGAACACCAGUGGCGAAGGCGGCCUUCUGGACCAGUACUGACGCUCAUGCACGAAAGCGUGGGGAGCAAACAGG